rnacentral:rRNA from 1 species
AAUGGGGGUGAAGAUACCCUCAACCCGCGGCAAGACGGAAAGACCCCGUGAACCUUUACUACAGCUUGACAGUGAACUUCGGGAUAGUAUGUGUAGGAUAGGUGGGAGGCUUUGAAGUGCUGGCGCCAGCUGGCAUGGAGCCGUCCUUGAAAUACCACCCUUACUGUUUUGGAGUUCUAACUCAGGUCCCUUAUCGGGAUCGAGGACACUGUCUGGUGGGUAGUUUGACUGGGGCGGUCGCCUCCUAAAGAGUAACGGAGGCGCACGAAGGUCGGCUCAGGCUGAUUGGAAACCAGCCGUAGAGUGCAAAGGCAUAAGCCGGCUUGACUGUGAGACCUACAAGUCGAGCAGGAACGAAAGUUGGUCUUAGUGAUCCGGUGGUUCCACAUGGAAGGGCCAUCGCUCAACGGAUAAAAGGUACUCCGGGGAUAACAGGCUUAUCUCCCCCAAGAGUUCAUAUCGACGGGGAGGUUUGGCACCUCGAUGUCGGCUCAUCGCAUCCUGGGGCUGAAGUAGGUCCCAAGGGUUUGGCUGUUCGCCAAUUAAAGCGGUACGUGAGCUGGGUUUAGAACGUCGUGAGACAGUUCGGUCCCUAUCUGCCGUGGGCGCAGGAUAAUUGAGAGGGUCUGUCCCUAGUACGAGAGGACCGGGAUGGACGGACCUCUAGUGCACCAGUUGUCACGCCAGUGGCAUAGCUGGGUAGCUAUGUCCGGAAGGGAUAACCACUGAAAGCAUCUAAGUGGGAAACCCGCCUCAAGAUUAGUUAUCCUGUCCGGUAGCAAUACCGGGCUAAGACCCCACGUAGACUACGUGGUUGAUAGGCCGAUGGUGUAAGCGUAGCGAUACGUUUAGCCUACCGGUACUAAUAGGUCGAGCGCUUGACCAAUAA